UCAGAAACUUAAAGGAAGUUAGACGGGGCCCGGCGACAAGCGGUGGAGUAUGUGGUUAAUUCGAUGCAACGCGAAGAACCUUACCUGGUCUUGACAUCCCGAGACCCUUAGGAAACUAGGGGUGCUCUAUCUGGAAGAAUCUGGAGACAGGUGCUGCAUGGCUGUCGUCAGCUCGUGUCGUGAGAUGUUGGGUUAAGUCCCGCAACGAGCGCAACCCUUGCCUUUAGUUGCCAGCAGUUCGGCUGGGCACUCUAAAGGGACUGCCGGUGUUAAACCGGAGGAAGGUGGGGAUGACGUCAAGUCCUCAUGGCCUUUAUGACCAGGGCUACACACGUACUACAAUGGCCGAUACAAAGGGCAGCGACACUGCGAGGUGAAGCCAAUCCCGUAAAAUCGGUCUCAGUCCGGAUUGGAGUCUGCAACUCGACUCCAUGAAGUUGGAAUCGCUAGUAAUCGUGGAUCAGCAUGCCACGGUGAAUACGUUCCCGGGCCUU
rnacentral:rRNA from 1 species